rnacentral:rRNA from 1 species
UACGAAGGGGGCAAGCGUUGUUCGGAAUUACUGGGCGUAAAGGGCGCGUAGGCGGCUUGGUCAGUCCCGUGUGAAAUCCCUCGGCUCAACUGAGGAACUGCACGGGAAACUGCCUGGCUUGAGUUCGGGAGAGGGAAGCGGAAUUCCGGGUGUAGCGGUGAAAUGCGUAGAUAUCCGGAGGAACACCGGUGGCGAAGGCGGCUUCCUGGACCGACACUGACGCUGAGGCGCGAAAGCUAGGGGAGCAAACGGG